rnacentral:lncRNA from 1 species
GUCUGCCUCCAGCAUUCCAAAGAAGUUAAUAUGUUACCUGUGUAAUAGACUAGCUCAUCCCAGCCAGGUUUAUGCCACGCAGCAUUCCUUAUAUCUUCUCUGGUCUGGAGAUCUUUGUAAGCUAGCAAGAGACAACAGCGAGCACAAAGCUUAUAAGUAACUCCUUUUCCUUCUAUGUAUGUACAGCUCCCUUAAAAGUAUUCUAGUGUGUUAUUAGGAGACUACAAAAUAAGAUAUUCUCCACAAAAAGGAACAAUCUCAAACCAAUGCAAAUAGAAGGAAGUGGGGAAGAGAGCGAAAUGUAUUCUGCAAAUGCUACACUAUCCUGAUCUUGCUCUCCGUACCACGUGUUCCAAGUCCCCACCAGUGCACAUGGGUAGUGUUUUUCUUCAUGAAUCUUUGGCAGCACCUCUUGACUUGAAAACAAGGAAUACAGACACUAUGUUGCAUUUCCUUCAGGGAGGCUACAGUUGAUAUGUAUAACAAAUCACCACACGUUUAUCAUUAUGGCACGAAAAUUCACAAGCUCUAUGUUUCAGAAGAGAAAGCUGAAAUACAAGAAUCUGCUAUGCAAGAGGAAAGAUAGCUACAUAAAAAUAAGGAAUUCACACCAGCAGCACUCCUCAGCAAUCAACAUUUGAGAACCUAACAAACUGGGAUACCCUGUGGAAGCAGAAUGGAAGAACUGAGAAGUAUUUCAGAGCACAGAAAUAGUAAGAACCAAAACAACCACAGCCAAGACAGUCUUCAAUGCUAAGAAGUAAUUGGUAAGUAUUUUGUUUUAUUUAUUGAAAACAGUGCUUUAUUUGACCCUAGACAAUCAUACAAACACAUUCCUGUGCAGUCACUCCUGCAUUCAUGAAGACAAUAACCCCCACCAACAAGAUCCUACAUGGCAGUUGGAGUGGGGGAGCAUACUAGCAUACAAGGAUCUAAUUGCAAUUGUAGAGCUAAGGAUGGGAAGGGAGCUAUGCCAAUAAAGGGGCAUUCCAUGGUACAGCUGUUGCCAGAGGAGAGUGGUGCAGGAGCAGAGGUUUCUCUGAUCUCAGCUGAGGGAGAAGAGAGGCACAGGUGACAGCACAGCUGUGUUUUACACCUGCACCAGGUGCCACAGGAACGUACCAUGCCUCAGCUGAGGUCACACUGGAGAGCCCACCCAAUAAAGGCACGCUCUUUUACAGCUCCUGUACAGUAAACACCAUUACCCACUGGACACAAAACUGCCUCCGACCUCCAGGAGGCAGGACUCCAUUUCAGCCCUGCAGUGCUUGUUCUUUCAUCUACAGGGAGAUCUGUACACUACUGACAUAUUCUCCCUUAAUUACUAAAUGCAAUUAGCAAACUAAUAUUCUGAGCACUCUUCUGCAAGGAAUGAAAUAAAUACUUCAGGUGUUUAUGCAGUCUUUGGUUAAGGAAUUGUAAAGUUCCUUAUCAACAAUGACUAAUAAAUCACAACUAGCCAUCUAAAUGUUCACUUUACUUACAAUAAAGAAUGGUAACAGCUGAAGUUGAUUAAAACAGACACUCACUGUGUCUCACCUGAGAUGCUACAGCCUUCAUUUGCACCACCACAUCCCCUGAGAUACUCUACUGGUGUCCAUCUGGACACCCACAAACCAAGAUGCUCUGAGCUGACUGCCAGCUCACCUGCUUGGGCCACCUGUGCCUCAAGAAGAGCCAGGGACUUAAAUGACAGACUUGUUGUAAGCAUCAAAACUAAUCCACCACCCAAAAGAUCCACUUGUAAAUAACAUUAUGCUCCACAGCAUGAUCAAAUCAGUUCCAAGGAAAACAUUGGAUCCAUAUUACCUGAACACCGCUAAUGAAAUUACAAGUAAGUGCACAGAACGAACAUGUACACACUAUAGGGAAUUACCAUCACACUUCAUAACUUUUUAUUUUCUGGGAAUAAUGCUUAUUAAAGAGUUUUCAUGCAACCUUUUAAGGCACUGCUUAACUUUGCUAGCAAAUGCUUAUCCUACAAAUGUUAUCUAAAGGCUCAGAUUUCGUGCUAGAAAGAUUGGGCUGCGAGCACAAGAGGAGAACAACAAAUGGCUUGGCCAUAUUAAUUUAAGAGUGCUGCUGAGGACAUUUCCAUCUCCCUUAACUUCUGCGUUAGCAUACAGUAUAAACUGGGUAGAGCGGGAGGUAUCAGGUCAAAUAUUUAGAUUCUGUAGUAACCAAUGUCUGCCUGGAAGAGAAAGAAAAACAACUUGUCUGUAACGGGCACUUUUUAACCCAUGCACAUCAAAGUCACUGUGUGCACCUGCUUCAGAAAGCUGCUGGCAGCGUUGAUCCCGCGGGCACUGCUGCCCUUUCUAACCCUAAGGCAGCACCUUCCUCUGCCUCAAAAGGAGGGAGGGAAAAGGGCGCAGAUCCUUCCCACCCGGGGUGCUCCAUCUCCAGCACACGUGUCAGCUUCCUACGCCCAUUCCCGACCCCCCGAGGGGCAUGCAUGUGUCUGACCCCUCACACCGGGCGUGCAAACGUGCCCCAGCGCUCACCGAUGUGGCCGUGCG